UUCCAGACUCCUACGGGAGGCAGCAGUGAGGAAUAUUGGUCAAUGGGCGGGAGCCUGAACCAGCCAAGUCGCGUGAGGGAAGACGGUCCUACGGAUUGUAAACCUCUUUUGCCGGGGAGCAACGGGGUCCUUGCGAGGGCCCGAUGAGAGUACCCGGAGAAAAAGCAUCGGCUAACUCCGUGCCAGCAGCCGCGGUAAUACGGAGGAUGCGAGCGUUAUCCGGAUUUAUUGGGUUUAAAGGGUGCGUAGGCGGGACGGUAAGUCAGCGGUAAAAAGGCGGAGCUCAACUCCGUCGAGCCGUUGAAACUGCCGUUCUUGAGUGAGCGAGAAGUAUGCGGAAUGCGUGGUGUAGCGGUGAAAUGCAUAGAUAUCACGCAGAACUCCGAUUGCGAAGGCAGCAUACCGGCGCUCAACUGACGCUGAAGCACGAAGGCGUGGGUAUCGAACAGGAUUAGAUACCCCCGUAA
rnacentral:rRNA from 1 species